GAGGGUAUAGCUCAGUGGUAGAGUACAGUGCUUAGGAUACACGAGGUCCUGGGUUCAAGCCCCAGUACCUCCU
rnacentral:tRNA from 1 species